AAACUCAAUCUAUUGAUUUUGAUGUGAGUAAAAAUGUUCGUUUGGUUCCUCCAUUUAAUGAGCGGGAUGUUGAUAAAUAUUUUACAUUGUUUGAAAGAGUGGCACUCACACUUAAAUGGCCUAAAAAUGUGUGGACUUUGUUGUUGCAGUGUGCAUUAAGUGGCAAAGCGCAAGAGGCGUAUGCGUCUCUUUCUGUGGCUGAUAGCCUUGAUUUUGAGAAAGUUAAAAGUGCUAUUUUGAGGGCGUAUGAACUAGUACCUGAAGCUUAUCGUCAAAAAUUUCGUAAAUUAAAAAAACACUACAAUCAAACGUAUGUGGAUUUUGUUAGGGAUAAAGAAAUUCUCUUUGAUCGUUGGUGCACUGCUAAAAAUGUUGCUGACUUUGCACAACUUAAGCAGCUCAUUUUAAUGGAAGACUUUAAAAACAACUUGCCAGAAAAAGUUACCACCUACUUGAAUGAAAAUAAAGUGUCGGAUGUGUCAAAAGCUGCAGUGCUCGUUGAUGAGUACAUGCUGACGCACAAAGGUAAUUUUGAGCGCUCACAUGUCUUUAAUAAAUUUGACAAAUCUGAAAGUAACGGGAAGGAGUGUG